GAGGUGGCGAGCGUUAUUCGGAAUUAUUGGGCGUAAAGGGCGCGUAGGCGGCCACGCAAGUCCUGGGUGAAAUCCCUCGGCUCAACCGAGGAACUGCCUCGGAAACUGCAUGGCUCGAGGCCGGGAGAGGGUAGCGGAAUUCCCAGUGUAGCGGUGAAAUGCGUAGAUAUUGGGAGGAACACCGGUGGCGAAGGCGGCUACCUGGACCGGUUCUGACGCUGAUGCGCGAAAGCGUGGGGAGCAAACAGGAUUAGAUACCCUGGUAGUCCACGCUGUAAACGAUGGGUGCUCGGUGUCGCGGGUAUCGACCCCUGCGGUGCCUUAGCUAACGCGUUAAGCACCCCGCCUGGGGAGUACGGUCGCAAGGCUG
rnacentral:rRNA from 1 species